rnacentral:misc_RNA from 1 species
UUUCCGUUGGUGAGCCAGCGGAGGGAUCAUUACCGAGUGCAAACUCAUAACCCUUUGUGAACCUAUAUCUGUUGCUUCGGCGGCUCGCUCUCGGGCGAGCCCGCCGGUAAUAUCAGUAUCUCUGUUUGAACCCGACGAUACUUCUGAGUGUUCUUAGCGAACAGUUAAAACUUUUAACAACGGAUCUCUUGGCUCUA